GACGAACGCUGGCGGCGUGCUUAGCACAUGCAAGUCGAGCGGUAAGGCCCUUUCGGGGGUACACGAGCGGCGAACGGGUGAGUAACACGUGGGUGACCUGCCCUCAGCUCUGGGAUAAGCCUGGGAAACCGGGUCUAAUACCGGAUAUGACUCCAUGACGCAUGUUGUGGGGUGGAAAGCCUUGUGCGGCUGAGGAUGGGCCCGCGGCCUAUCAGCUUGUUGGUGGGGUGAUGGCCUACCAAGGCGACGACGGGUAGCCGGCCUGAGAGGGCGACCGGCCACACUGGGACUGAGACACGGCCCAGACUCCUACGGGAGGCAGCAGUGGGGAAUCUUGCGCAAUGGGCGAAAGCCUGACGCAGCGACGCCGCGUGAGGGAUGACGGCCUCGGUUGUAAC
rnacentral:rRNA from 1 species